GCCCUUUUCCGGUUGAUCCUGCCGGAGGCCAUUGCUAUUGGAGUCCGAUUUAGCCAUGCUAGUUGUGCGAGUUCAGACUCGCAGCAAAUAGCUCAGUAACACGUGGCCAAACUACCCUCUGGAGCGCAAUAACCUCGGGAAACUGAGGCUAAUGGCGCAUACCGCUCGAUGCCUGGAACUGGCUCGAGCACUAAAUGCCCCGGCGCCAGAGGAUGUGGCUGCGGCCGAUUAGAUAGACGGUGGGGUAACGGCCCACCGUGCCGAUAAUCGGUACGGGUUGUGAGAGCAAGAGCCCGGAGACGGUAUCUGAGACAAGAUACCGGGCCCUACGGGGCGCAGCAGGCGCGAAACCUUUACACUGCACGACAGUGCGAUAAGGGGACUCCAAGUGCGAGGGCAUAACGUCCUCGCUUUUCAUGACCGUAAGAAGGUCUUAGAAUAAGGGCUGGGCAAGACCGGUGCCAGCCGCCGCGGUAAUACCGGCAGCCCAAGUGAUGGCCGCUCUUAUUGGGCCUAAAGCGUCCGUAGCUGGCCGCGCAAGUCUAUCGGGAAAUCUGCCCGCCUAACGGGCAGGCGUCCGGUGGAAACUGCACGGCUUGGGACCGGAAGAUCCA
rnacentral:rRNA from 1 species